rnacentral:rRNA from 1 species
UCGACCUCAAAUCAGGUAGGAAUACCCGCUGAACUUAAGCAUAUCAAUAAGCGGAGGAAAAGAAACCAACAGGGAUUGCCUCAGUAGCGGCGAGUGAAGCGGCAAGAGCUCAGAUUUGAAAUCGUGCUUUGCGGCACGAGUUGUAGAUUGCAGGUUGGAGUCUGUGUGGAAGGCGGUGUCCAAGUCCCUUGGAACAGGGCGCCCAGGAGGGUGAGAGCCCCGUGGGAUGCCGGCGGAAGCAGUGAGGCCCUUCUGACGAGUC